rnacentral:rRNA from 1 species
GAUGAACGCUAGCGGCAGGCUUAAUACAUGCAAGUCGUGGGGCAGCAUGAGUAGCAAUACUUGGUGGCGACCGGCAAACGGGUGCGGAACACGUACACAACCUUCCGAUAAGUGGGGAAUAGCCCAGAGAAAUUUGGAUUAAUACCCCGUAACAUAUAGAGUAGGCAUCUUCUUUACAUUAUAGCUUCGGCGCUUAUUGAUGGGUGUGCGUCUGAUUAGGUAGUUGGCGGGGUAACGGCCCACCAAGCCUACGAUCAGUAGCUGAUGUGAGAGCAUGAUCAGCCACACGGGCACUGAGACACGGGCCCGACUCCUACGGGAGGCAGCAGUAAGGAAUAUUGGACAAUGGGCGAAAGCCUGAUCCAGCCAUGCCGCGUGAAGGAUUAAGGUCCUCUGGAUUGUAAACUUCUUUUAUUUGGGACGAAAAAAGGGAAUUCUUUCCCACUUGACGGUACCAAGUGAAUAAGCACCGGCUAACUCCGUGCCAGCCGCCGCAGUAA